UACGGAAGGCAGCAGUGGGGAAUAUUGCACAAUGGGCGCAAGCCUGAUGCAGCCAUGCCGCGUGUAUGAAGAAGGCCUUCGGGUUGUAAAGUACUUUCAGUCGUGAGGAAGGUGUUAAGGUUAAUAACCUUAGCAAUUGACGUUAGCGACAGAAGAAGCACCGGCUAACUCCGUGCCAGCAGCCGCGGUAAUACGGAGGGUGCGAGCGUUAAUCGGAAUUACUGGGCGUAAAGGGCACGCAGGCGGUUAAUUAAGUUGGAUGUGAAAUCCCCGGGCUUAACCUGGGAAUGGCAUUCAAGACUGGUUAGCUAGAGUCUUGUAGAGGGGGUAGAAUUCCAUGUGUAGCGGUGAAAUGCGUAGAGAUGUGGAGGAAUACCGGUGGCGAAGACGGCCCCUGGACAAAGACUGACGCUCAUGUGCGAAAGCGUGGGGAGCAAACAGGGAUUAGAUACC
rnacentral:rRNA from 1 species